AGAGAGUUCGCUGGCAUCCUGUGCUUAGCUGCAGGGUUAAUCCUUUCGUGCGCUUUUUCCCCGAUGUUUCUUGGUGUCGGGAGGCCUGGCGGAACCUAAUAGGUAUGUCCUUAAUGUGCUUUUUCCAGGCGCCGGGAAAUUGCUGGUUCUACUGGACAUGGAGCAGGUUGCCCGAGAUGUGCAGGUGUUUGGUAUUGCCCUGAUGAGCACCUGUAUUUGAAGGCCUGGGUUCCAAGCGCAGAUGGGCUUCCUCUCCUCUCGUCCGUCGUCUUUUUGUUUUGUUUGAACACAUCCCUAGACAUACACUCACACUACACCUUGCUUUUAUUCAC